AUUGAACGCUGGCGGCAGGCCUAACACAUGCAAGUCGAGCGGAUGAAGGGAGCUUGCUCCUGGAUUCAGCGGCGGACGGGUGAGUAAUGCCUAGGAAUCUGCCUGGUAGUGGGGGAUAACGUCCGGAAACGGGCGCUAAUACCGCAUACGUCCUGAGGGAGAAAGUGGGGGAUCUUCGGACCUCACGCUAUCAGAUGAGCCUAGGUCGGAUUAGCUAGUUGGUGGGGUAAAGGCCUACCAAGGCGACGAUCCGUAACUGGUCUGAGAGGAUGAUCAGUCACACUGGAACUGAGACACGGUCCAGACUCCUACGGGAGGCAGCAGUGGGGAAUAUUGGACAAUGGGCGAGAGCCUGAUCCAGCCAGGCCGCGUGUGUGAAGAAGGUCUUCGGAUUGUAAAGCACUUUAAGUUGGGAGGAAGGGCAGUAAGUUAAUACCUUGCUGUUUUGACGGUACCAACAGAAUAAGCACCGGCUAACUUCGUG
rnacentral:rRNA from 1 species